rnacentral:lncRNA from 1 species
GCUUCCUCCCCAGAGCCAGUCACAGUGUCUGUUGUUCCCUAGGUACCAGCAGCUCCGUUAGGUCCCCAGUGCCAUGGGCUCCUAUCCCACCCUCCUCUUUGCCCUUGGUGUCAUCUGGACCCGGCUCCUGUUGGCUACGGCUCAGUCCCAUUACCCCAAGGCCCCCUCCAUCUUCCUCCACCCCAGUGGUCGGAUCGCACCAGGGAUGGAUGUCUCCAUCGUCUGCCAUGGAAUGCAGCAGGGCGUGCGGUUCAAGCUGUACCGGGCGGGGAUCGCGCUGCGGCACACAGAGCCGCCUGGGACGACAGCUGAAUUCCGCAUCACCAACGCCCGGCGGGAGGACGGGGGAAUCUACACUUGCCGCUAUGAGAGCCUGACAGAGCCACCGGUCCUCUCUCCCCCUAGCAACCCUGUGAAGCUGGUGGUAGAAGGAUGUCAUGUGUCUCUGUUAUGUCCCUUCUGCUGCUCCGGCCCCUUAACAUGUAGUCCUGUAUUCAUCAUUACAGAGCAUAUCAGCUCCCAGUUCCCCCAGCACUGACCGCUGGACACCACUUCCCUGCCAGAGCUAAGGAUGGAACCCAGCAAUCCUGGCUCCUGGCUCCCCUAAUCUAACUACUAGAGCCCGCUCCCCUCCUAGAGUGGGUAAUAGAAUCCAGGAGUCCUAAAUACCACUCUUUCUCUCUCUCUGUCUUUGCCUGCUAGAUUCAAGCACCCCCUGUUACCAGAUUAUCUCCUCCCUCUGUGGGAAUUUACAGACCAGGAUCAAAUCUCCACUGAUCUGUCUCUUCAUUGCACUAAAUUUGCUUUUCUCCAUCCAGGUGUCACCUCUGAAAUUCUCACCUGUCAGCUGGUGAGUAACCCCAGCAUUACCAGAGCUAUGAACCCAUUCAUCUCCAG